AAAUUUAUUUUGUGUCAAUAAUAUUUAAAUGAACAAAUUUUUUCAAUAAAAUACAAAAAUUUUUAUUUAAUUUUAUUUAUAUCUUCUCUUCCGAAUGUGUCUUUUUGGAGAAAUUAAAAUUUAAUCCAUACACUGAGAGAAAUUAUAAUAGUUAGGAUAAUUCAUCUUAUUCAGAAAUUAUGAAAAUUAUAAAACAGGAGUUCUAUAACAAUUUCAUUAAAAAGAAUUAUUGUUUUGCCACUCAUAAUAGCCUCAUACUUAAUUUUUUUGUUUGCUGAUUAUAUUUUAAUUUUGUGAGAGGUUGAUUGAAAUAAUGUUAGAACUUUUCUCAACACCGGCUCUAUUUUUCUACGCCUAUAAGGAAAAGGAGACAUUCAAAAAAACAAAAUUCUAAACUUCUCGGAAUGAGGAAUUUUUAAUUAAAGCCUAUAAAAAUUUGUUUUCACAUAUCUUGAAUAGAACCAAUUCACAAGAAAUUCUCACUAUGCGUCUGUUUUUCUUCGAAAAAUUACACUAUAUCUUAAUUUAGAUGUAGAUACAAAGACAACAACGUAUGUUAUUGUCAAAUUUUAAAAUUAAAAAUUUUAAUUCACCUACUGAAGAAAAAAAUUUGGCUUCGCCCAUUAAUUCUGAUACACAGGGAAAUUUAGCGACUAAUAAUAUUCUCGGAUCUUUAAGGGGAUCUGGACAAUUAAUAGUAUAAAAGGCAGUUUGCUAACUGAUAAUAUUCCUGAAACUUCGAGUGAAUUUGGACAAUUUACUAUAAAAAAAGAUUUAUCAAGUGAUGAUAUUCCCAGAACUUCGAAAUGAUCUCAACAAUUUACUUUAAAAGAAGAUUUAUCAAGUGAUGAUAUUCUUGUAAAUUCGAAAGCUUCUGGACAAUUUAGUAAUAAGUAUUGGUAUUAUAUCAUCAUGUUUGGAGAAUAUGAAUACACAAUUCAUCUUCUCCAAAUAUGAUGAUAUAAUACCAAUACUUAUUACUAAAUUGUCCAGAAGCUUUCGAAUUUAUAAGAAUAUCAUCACUUGAUAAAUCUUCUUUUAAAGUAAAUUGUUGAGAUCUUUUCGAAGUUCUGGGAAUAUCAUCACUUGAUAAAUCUUUUUUUAUAGUAAAUUGUCCAAAUUCCCUCGAAGUUUCAGGAAUAUCAUCAGUUAGCAAACUGCCUUUUAUACUAUUAAUUGUCCAGAUCCCCUUAAAGAUCCGAGAAUAUUAUUAGUCGCUAAAUUUUCCUGUGUAUCUGGAUUAAUGGCCGAAGCCAAAUUUCUUUCUUCAGCAGGUGCAUUAAAUGAAAAUCUAGUUUUUAUACUAUUUGAUAAUUGAAUCAGUAUGUAGUUGUUAUUUUACUUAAUUAAAUCAUUGUCAAAGUGAAUGAAUAAAACCACGCAGUUUUUUAAUA